rnacentral:rRNA from 1 species
GAUGAACGCUGGCGGCGUGCCUAAUACAUGCAAGUCGAGCGAACAGAUGAGGAGCUUGCUCCUCUGACGUUAGCGGCGGACGGGUGAGUAACACGUGUAUAACCUACCUAUAAGACUGGGAUAACUUCGGGAAACCGGAUCUAAUACCGGAUAAUAUAUUGAACCGCAUGGUUCAAUAGUGAAAUACGGUUUUGCUGUCACUUAUAGAUGGAUCCGCGCCGCAUUAGCUAGUUGGUAAGGUAACGGCUUACCAAGGCAACGAUGCGUAGCCGACCUGAGAGGGGGAUAGGCCACACUGGAACUGAGACAGGGUCAAGAGUCCUACGGGAGGCCGCAGUCGGGAAUCUUCCGCAGUGGGCGAAAGCAUGACGGAGCAACGCCGCGUGAGUGAUGAAGGUCUUCGGAUCGUAAAACUCUGUUAUUAGGGAAGAACAAAUGUGUAAGUAAAUAUGCACGUAUUGACGGUACCUAAUCAGAAAGCCACGGCUAACUACGUG